GAUCCUGGCUCAGAUUGAACGCUGGCGGCAGGCCUAACACAUGCAAGUCGAACGGUAACAGAAAGCAGCUUGCUGCUUUGCUGACGAGUGGCGGACGGGUGAGUAAUGUCUGGGAAACUGCCUGAUGGAGGGGGAUAACUACUGGAAACGGUAGCUAAUACCGCAUAACGUCGCAAGACCAAAGAGGGGGGACCUUCGGGCCUCUUGCCAUCGGAUGUGCCCAGAUGGGAUUAGCUAGUAGGG
rnacentral:rRNA from 1 species